UACGGGGGGAGCAAGCGUUGUUCGGAUUUACUGGGCGUAAAGGGCGCGUAGGCGGCCACCGCAAGUCAAUUGUGAAAUCUCCGGGCUUAACUCGGAAAGGUCAACUGAUACUGCGGGGCUAGAGUGCGGAAGGGGCAACUGGAAUUCUCGGUGUAGCGGUGAAAUGCGCAGAUAUCGGGAGGAACACCAACGGCGAAGGCAGCUCGCUGGGACGUUACUGACGCUGAGACGCGAAAGCGUGGGGAGCAAACAGG
rnacentral:rRNA from 1 species